UACAGAGGUCUCAAGCGUUGUUCGGAUUCAUUGGGCGUAAAGGGUGCGUAGGUGGCGCCGUAAGUCAGGUGUGAAAUUUCGGAGCUUAACUCCGAAACUGCAUUUGAUACUGCGGUGCUUGAGGACUGGAGAGGAGACUGGAAUUCACGGUGUAGCAGUGAAAUGCGUAGAUAUCGUGAGGAAGACCAGUGGCGAAGGCGGGUCUCUGGACAGUUCCUG
rnacentral:rRNA from 1 species